UUGAGGUCCAGUAGCCACUUUGGACCAUGAGGUGGCAUUGAGGGUGAAUCUACAAGCUCAAAAGGAAAAGCAAAAAGACAGAGUCCUUGGUUCCUCUGCAGCUCUGGGUUCAGCAAAGUGCACAGCAUCAUCUCAGAUCUUUUUUUUCCACAACCCUCAAGAAACACAAUAUUUUGGGAGUAGAAAAAGUAUAACGAGGAUGCUGCUACUGAAGGUGGAAAUGCUGGAUUCUCUGUGAAAACAAGGAUUUUUUGGAGAAGGGAUUCAGAUUAAAAGAAAUAGGUUGUUCUGCAUUUUGUCUUAUCUGGAAAACAAGUAUCCUGGCUCUUGAGCCUUUUGCUGAAUCUGAAUGAUCCGUCCUAUUUACAUUCUCUGGGAGUUUUGAAUGGUGUGUGUGUUUGUAGGUGAUAAUCUUUGCACCAGAGACUGGUACGUGGAAGAGAUUCUCGGUCGGGCCAGUGGUGAUUUUGCCCAUGAUCCUGAAUGUUCCUGCAUAAAGACACAGACCACAAAGUGA